rnacentral:rRNA from 1 species
GGAUUAGAUACCCUGGUAGUCCACGCCGUAAACGAUGUCUACUAGCCGUUGGGGUCCUUGAGACUUUAGUGGCGCAGCUAACGCACUAAGUAGACCGCCUGGGGAGUACGGUCGCAAGAUUAAAACUCAAAUGAAUUGACGGGGGCCCGCACAAGCGGUGGAGCAUGUGGUUUAAUUCGAAGCAACGCGAAGAACCUUACCAGGUCUUGACAUCCUGAGAACUUUCUAGAGAUAGAUUGGUGCCUUCGGGAACUCAGAGACAGGUGCUGCAUGGCUGUCGUCAGCUCGUGCCG